AUGGUUUCCAGCCAUAUCCAUAUUUUUCCCUCCCACCGUUGCCCUGCCAUGGCAGCGUAUGUGCUAACCGACACCUUGCUCGACUCUUCUCUCCCCAUCGCUUCCACCUCUCGCGCGCUCCCCUCCUCCGCCACCCGCGGCCAGCCGGGCUCUUCAACCCUCCUCCCGGCGGCGUCGACUGGAGCUGGCACGGCCGUGGUGUGUGCUGUCCACGGCCAGGACACCACCAUCCAGGACCAAGUUGCCGAAGGAGAUCCGGUCCUGGCGUGUUGCUCGUAUCACUGUCGCCCUUCAUCGGAUUCACCGGAGCCAAAGGAGAAGGAGGAGGCAGCGGAGCCGGAUGAGGACGAUGCUGCCAUGAAGGAGGAGGAACUAGAGCCGGCGGAGCCGGAUGAGGACGACACUGCCAUGAAGAAGGAGGAACCGGAGCCGGAGGAUGAUGCGUUCGAGGAGGAACCGGAGGUGGCGGUGGAGGCGGAUCCGGUCUCUGCCGCUUCGACAUGGCCUACGCCAUGGCGGAGUUUGAGGGGGCCCAAACGGAGAUGGCGGAGCAACUGCCCUCCUCGAGUCCUUCGAGUCGGAGCACGAGGUGAGGCGAAUCGCCGAGCUCUUCACCAAGCUUGA
rnacentral:rRNA from 1 species